rnacentral:lncRNA from 1 species
GCCGGUGCUUGCAGAAGGCUGUUCUAGCCUCAGGGAUUCUCACACAUACUUCUGUUGACAGAGUUCCUGUGUAGCAAGCAAUCUGAAAUGCCUUUUGUUAAAGAUCUAUUCAUGUCCCCUUUCCGUUCUGCCCCAACACUUGGAAGAUCAUUCAGCUCCUCAGCCCUGCUACUGCACUCAUGGAAAAACUGUAUUUGGGGUUGUCUAGAGAACAGAACAGAAACACUAGUGAUUUAAGGUUCAGUUGGAUGGAAGCCAAAAGAAUGUGCCUUUGAAAGAAGACACAUGUUGAUACGAAUUCACUAUGACAACUCUGGAGUUUGCUAAUGACUUGCCUUGAGUCAGCCUGGACAGCCACAUGGAGGAAGGAAUUCACCUUUGGAACAAAGGCGUCUUAGACAAUGGUCCACAAUUCUCAAAAUACUUAAAAGGAUGUAGGUCCCAAUAAAAAAUGGAAGAUUGCAUUGAAUUAUAAUCCACAUGACAUUUAGAAAUAAAAUCAAUUUCACCUUUGUCUGAUGGUGCUGGAAUGGAAGCUCAGCACUCUGGACUGGAGACGGUAUUACCUUAUUCUCUGCUCAUAAAAACCAGCAAGUCACUUGAAACUUCGAAGUGUGAAAUAAAGAGGAAAAUUCAUUGCUGCAUUGUGGAAACUUGUUCACGUCCUUCAUUUGCAUAUAAUUUGACAUCCAGUAAAACAUCCCUGGAAUUUACUAGUUAUUGCCCUACUGUAUGCUGUUGAAGAGCCUGAGAAAAAGAAGCUGGAUGGAGACUUAUUCUAUUCCUCAGAUUAAAAUGCAUCAAGUGGUCCGGGAAAACACAGUUCCCCAUUUUUUUGUUAACCUGAAUGCAGAUGAAAAACCAGACACAACUCAUGGAAACACUCACUUAAAAUUUAAGCUAAAUAUUAACACUUUUUCAAAUUUAAGGCACUCACUAUUCAGGAAUAACUCUGAAUUCCAGAGCAUUCAUAUGGCAAACACAGAAACCUCUUCAUCAGAAGAUCAAGAGGAAGAUGAUAAUAUUUUUACAGUUUUACCUAUGAACGGAACUGUCUGGGACAGUUUUCAGAAAAUUUACAUUUCUCAUGGCUACAUCAAUAAAAACGUCACCUUACCUACUGCUGAUGGCAGUCUCCCCAGUGAGGAGAAACUAAAUGAGCAAAGAUUACAUCUACAGAAGGGCAAGACUAUAAUCUUGUGAGACUCUUGAGGCUGAACAGAAGUUCCCACAUGCUCUUCUCUGGCUGCAGUCCUGCAGGCAAGAUGAAACCACAGAAGGACAACGUUUACAGUUAUUAACUCUUAUUUAAAACUUGUAUAUACCACUUCUUGUCCAGAUCUCAAAGCAGUUAUAACUUCAAAAACUAGGCUAAAACCAUUAAAAACAAUAUACAUCGUUC